rnacentral:rRNA from 1 species
GACGAACGCUGGCGGCGUGCUUAACACAUGCAAGUCGAGCGGUAAGGCCCUUUCGGGGGUACACGAGCGGCGAACGGGUGAGUAACACGUGGGUGACCUGCCCUCAGCUCUGGGAUAAGCCUGGGAAACCGGGUCUAAUACUGGAUAUGACUCCAUGACGCAUGUUGUGGGGUGGAAAGCCUUGUGCGGCUGAGGAUGGGGCCCCGCGGCCUAUCAGCUUGUUGGUGGGGUGA